GUGACUGAGUGGCGGACGGGUGAGUAACGCGUGGGUAACCUGCCUCAUACAGGGGGAUAACAGUUAGAAAUGACUGCUAAUACCGCAUAAGACCACGGAGUCGCAUGACUCAGUGGGAAAAACUCCGGUGGUAUGAGAUGGACCCGCGUCUGAUUAGGUAGUUGGUGGGGUAACGGCCUACCAAGCCGACGAUCAGUAGCCGACCUGAGAGGGUGACCGGCCACAUUGGGACUGAGACACGGCCCAAACUCCUACGGGAGGCAGCAGUGGGGAAUAUUGCACAAUGGGGGAAACCCUGAUGCAGCGACGCCGCGUGAGCGAAGAAGUAUUUCGGUAUGUAAAGCUCUAUCAGCAGGGAAGAAAAUGACGGUACCUGACUAAGAAGCACCGGCUAAAUACGUGCCAGCAGCCGCGGUAAUACGUAUGGUGCAAGCGUUAUCCGGAUUUACUGGGUGUAAAGGGAGCGUAGACGSCUUGUGUAAGUCUGAAGUGAAAGCCCGGGGCUCAACCCCGGGACUGCUUUGGAA
rnacentral:rRNA from 1 species